rnacentral:rRNA from 1 species
AGUGAACGCUGGCGGUAGGCCUAACACAUGCAGGUCGAACGGCAGCACAGUAAGAGCUUGCUCUUACGGGUGGCGAGUGGCGGACGGGUGAGGAAUACAUCGGAAUCUACUUUUUCGUGGGGGAUAACGUAGGGAAACUUACGCUAAUACCGCAUGCGACCUACGGGUGAAAGCAGGGGAUCUUCGGACCUUGCGCGAUUGAAUGAGCCGAUGUCGGAUUAGCUAGUUGGCGGGGUAAAGGCCCACCAAGGCGACGAUCCGUAGCUGGUCUGAGAGGAUGAUCAGCCACACUGGAACUGAGACACGGUCCAGACUCCUACGGGAGGCAGCAGUGGGGAAUAUUGGACAAUGGGCGCAAGCCUGAUCCAGCCAUACCGCGUGGGUGAAGAAGGCCUUCGGGUUGUAAAGCCCUUUUGUUGGGAAAGAAAAGCAGCAGGUUAAUACCCCGCUGUUCUGACGGUACCCAAAGAAUAAGCACCGGCUAACUUCGUG